rnacentral:misc_RNA from 1 species
CCAAUAGCGUAUAUUAAAGUUGUUGCAGUUAAAAAGCUCGUAGUUGAAUUUCGGGACCAAUCUGCCGGUCGUGCCUCCGGUACGCACUGGUUUUAUUGGUUUCUCCCUUCUGACGAACCAUGAUGUCAUUAAUUUGGUGUCAUGGGGAAUCAGGACUGUUACUUUGAAAAAAUUAGAGUGUUUAUAGCAGGCUCACGCUUGAAUACAUUAGCAUGGAAUAAUGAAAUAGGACGUUUUACCCUAUUUUGUUGGUUUCUAGGAUCGACGUAAUGAUUAAUAGGGAUAGUUGGGGGCAUUAGUAUUCAAUUGUCAGAGGUGAAAUUCUUGGAUUUAUUGAAGACUAACUACUGCGAAAGCAUUUGCCAAGGAUGUUUUCAUUAAUCAAGAACGAAAGUUAGGGGAUCGAAGACGAUCAGAUACCGUCGUAGUCUUAACCAUAAACUAUGCCGACUAGGGAUCGGAUGAUGUUAAUUUUUUAAUGACUCAUUCGGCGCCUUACA